UUAAAACAAUUCCCUGACUUUCUCCCUUCCUUCCUCUGUUUUCCUAACCUAUGAAGACCAGAUGCCACCGACAAUAGAUUUAGGGACACAUAUGAGUUCUGCCACAAACCUAAGUAGCAGUGACGGCAAUGGACACGACUUUUUUCUGAUGGUGCAAUGGAGGCAGUAAUUUCGACGCUUUUUUGAUCAUUUUGAGCACUGAAUGGCCGCGUUUUGAAUGGCGACAGAACCCCCUUGAUCCCAGCUUCCUUUCUCAACCAACCUCAACUCAAACAGCAGUACGAGAAGAGAGAAAACUAGAGUUUUCCAGUAAUAUCCUGAUCAACUAGUAACCAGUUUGGACAAUCAGACUUAAAGAUGACAACCCUUAUACCUCAGGUUUCAAUUUAAAACCAACUACGCGUUGAUUGGACACCGAAAGACACAGUUUAAAUUAGCCAAUUUUCCCCAAUCGAAGUGGAGUUUUAGGGGACGGACUUUGGAUUUUGCCAUCAAUGGCUUUUGGGCAUCUCAAAAGUGCCUUGAUCGGCAAAAUUUCACCGACAUCCAGAUUGGAUUUUUAGCUUGACCGAGGAGCUCAGUGGACCAUCCCAGAAAGUGGUUGUGCUUACAAGCGAUCAUACAAUUUUUCAAAUGCUCCAAAUGGAUUCCCGAUAGCUACAUCACUUGAGUUGAAAAGAAUACCGGAAAAGAACCCGAGGAACCGAGUCAAGGCCAAGAGGCGACUCGCUUGAGAUUUAGAGACUAGAGGAGCAGCAGACUGAGCUGCUGAAGAUUGAGGAUCAUUCAACUUGAAGUCUUCGGGUAUAAUUUAUACCCUAACUGUAAAUAUUUCUUUUGAUGUAUAUAUUGCACAUAAAUGUAUGGACAUGUAAAAAUGGGUCUUGAGCAGCUUGCACAAAAUUUGUAUGAAGUUUGUAAUAAAGUUUAGUUUGUGUUUCUUUUGAUGUAAAUUUGUAAGGAUGUAUAUAAAUUAUUUUGUCUUUAAUGAAAUAUGAGUGGAACUAUUUUAUUUAAUUUGAAUGAAA